CCGCACCGUGUGUUCAAAGUCGUCAUGCCCUGUGAGAUAAACCCAUUUUAUAUGCUGGGUCAAGUCGAGACUCUGCAGCUGGAUCCACGAGGGGGUCUUGGAAGUGGCAUCCACCAUGCCGACUUGUAGCAUCGGAUGUCUCAUGACUAUGUCCACGAUAGCAACCUCAAAUGCCUCCUCCAACUGGGUCCGCGACUCUGCAGGCGCAAGUCGUGGCGGGAUUACAUAACGACAAGAGAGGGUAGUGCCACGGUACUGGUCUAGUAUAUACAUGGCCAGUUGGUACGUCUCGCUUGACGCAGUGUUUGUUAGUUAGAAGCCAAAGCCACGAGAUGACAUGCCAGUAUACGAGGAUAGGUGAACGCCUACUUGAUUCCAAACUUACGAAGCACUGUUGUCUCUGCGCCAUGGUUCAUUUUGUUUGCCAUGGCUCGUUGCCGGUGUGGCGAAUCAAGAGGAGACGGGGCUGGUGGAUAAUGGAUUGCAGCCA
rnacentral:sRNA from 1 species